CCUACGGGUGGCAACAGUGAGGAAUAUUGGUCAAUGGACGCGAGUCUGAACCAGCCAAGUAGCGUGAAGGAUGACUGCCCUAUGGGUUGUAAACUUCUUUUAUAUGGGAAUAAAAUGUUCCACGUGUGGGAUUUUGUAUGUACCAUAUGAAUAAGGAUCGGCUAACUCCGUGCCAGCAGCCGCGGUAAUACGGAGGAUCCGAGCGUUAUCCGGAUUUAUUGGGUUUAAAGGGAGCGUAGGUGGUUUGUUAAGUCAGUUGUGAAAGUUUGCGGCUGAACCGUAAAAUUGCAGUUGAAACUGGCAGUCUUGAGUACAGUAGAGGUGGGCGGAAUUCGUGGUGUAGCGGUGAAAUGCUUAGAUAUCACGAAGAACUCCGAUUGCGAAGGCAGUUCACUGGACUGCAACUGACACUGAGGCUCGAAAGUGUGGGUAUCAAACAGGAUUAGAUACCCGAGUAGUC
rnacentral:rRNA from 1 species